rnacentral:lncRNA from 10 species
ACAGGCGGCGGGAGGUCUCCCCUGCCCCCGCAGUUGCCGGCCAAAGCAAGGGCUACCGACCGAAGCUGUACUCCUCCGGCUCCAGCACCCCCACGGGACUGGCGGGGGGCAGCCGAGACCCACCGAGGCAGCCCAGUGACAUGGGCUCGAGGGUUGGCUACCCCGCUCAGGUUUACAAAACUGCCAGUGCAGAGACUCCUCGGCCCUCCCAGCUGGCCCAGCCCAGCCCCUUUCAGCUCUCCGCCUCCGUCCCCAAGUCCUUCUUCUCCAAGCAGCCUGUACGCAAUAAGCACCCAACAGGGUGGAAGAGAACGGAGGAGCCCCCACCACGGCCACUCCCCUUCAGUGACCCAAAGAAGUAAGUGCCUGGACGUCCAGCGAGGCGCCCGCCAGAUCCACACCAGGGCGUCUCCGGGGCGGAAAGAGGGUGAUGCCACAUGCUGUCAUUGCACAGACGACUGUGGGCCAGUGUACCAGUGUACACACUGGGGCUGCAGCUGCAAGCAGGACAGGCGAGAACCCCUCUUGGGGAGCUGGCAUUCCAUUUGGGGUGACCAACAAUAAGUAGAAUAAGAGAAGCACGC